UAAAGUGCUUAUAGUGCAGGUAGUGUUUAUUGAUCUACUGCAUUAUGAGCACUUAAAGU
rnacentral:pre_miRNA from 1 species